AAGAAAAAGGGAAGAAGAAGUUGGAGAAGAUGGAGAAGAAGAUCUAGAAGGAGAUCUUCAUCCUCUCCUUCAUCUUCCUUGAGCCAUUGGAGCUCUUUUAGAGAUAGCCGCAGCACGCGGAAUAAAGGUCUAAAAAUCAUGAGAUCGGAACCGGAGCACCUUGGAGUCAAGGAAUAAACUCCGGAGAAGACGGAUCGCAGUUCGGAGGUCGUUUGCUAAGUCGCGCAAGAGUUCGGGCCAAACCGGGCAACGGUUGCCGCGGGAGGCCGAUUGCAAGUGUCGACAAGCAAUCGGAGCGCGAGUUAAGGUGGGUUGGUUUACCGAAGCGACUAGGUCGCCUUUAUGUCUAAGCGAAUUAAGAAUUCGUGUUGAUGCAUCUAAGUGUUAAACAAUGCAUGUUAAUGAUGUAAUGCUAAAGUAGAUGCAUAUAAAAGACUAUACAUAUAAGCAUGUAAACUAGAAGGAUGCAUGUAAAUAUGAUGCAUAGAUGAAAUGCAUGUUGAGUACAUAAGUUAAGAUGAGAUAUAAAAUGCAUGAUGAACAAGUUAUAUAAUGCUACAUAAUUACAUGAAUGCAUGUGAGCAUAAUGGAUAGAAUGCAUGUUGACAUUGUGAGAUUAAAUGUGCAUUAAAACUAGGUUGAUAACCCUAGAAUGAUUAAAGUAAAUGAUGCUAUGCUAAAGUAUAGAUGAUAAGCAUGAUGCGAAAACAAUAAAUGCAAGUACAUGUUGAGAAUGCUAAGUAAGGAAUAUAUAUAGGUGGACAUGAAUAAACCUAUAGAUCGAAUGGCAUUUAACCUAGAGUUUUGAACGUAGGUUAAAUAAGAAUGAUGCUAAACCUAAUGUAAAGAACAUAGGUU